rnacentral:rRNA from 1 species
AAUGAACGUUGGCGGCGUGGAUUAGGCAUGCAAGUCGAGCGGAAAGGCCCGCAAGGGCACUCGAGCGGCGUAAGGGACAGUAAUGUGUAGGUACGUACCCCUGGGUCUAGGAUAGCUGCGGGAAACUGCAAUUAAUACUAGAUGAUGUCUUCGGACCAAAGGUGUGAUUCCACCCAGGGAGCGGCCUACAUCCUAUUAGCUAGUUGGUGAGGUGACGGCUCACCAAGGCGAAGAUGGGUAGCAGGUGUGAGAGCACGACCUGCGUCACUGGGACUGAGACACUGCCCAGACACCUACGGGUGGCUGCAGUCGAGAAUCUUCGGCAAUGGGCGAAAGCCUGACCGAGCGACGCCGCGUGCGGGAUGAAGGCCUUCGGGUUGUAAACCGCUGUCGGAGGGGAUGAAAUGCCGAUGGGUACUCCCAACGGCUUGACUGAUCCUCGGAGGAAGAGUGGGCUAAGUUCGUG